GAACGCUGGCGGCAUGCUUUACACAUGCAAGUCGAACGGUAACAGGUCUUCGGAUGCUGACGAGUGGCGAACGGGUGAGUAAUGCAUCGGAACGUGCCCAGUCGUGGGGGAUAACGCAGCGAAAGCUGUGCUAAUACCGCAUACGAUCUAUGGAUGAAAGCGGGGGAUCGAAAGACCUCGCGCGAUUGGAGCGGCCGAUGUCAGAUUAGCUAGUUGGUGGGGUAAAGGCCCACCAAGGCGACGAUCUGUAGCUGGUCUGAGAGGACGACCAGCCACACUGGGACUGAGACACGGCCCAGACUCCUACGGGAGGCAGCAGUGGGGAAUUUUGGACAAUGGGCGCAAGCCUGAUCCAGCAAUGCCGCGUGCAGGAAGAAGGCCUUCGGGUUGUAAACUGCUUUUGUACGGAACGAAAAGGUCUGGGUUAAUACCCUGGGCUCAUGACGGUACCGUAAGAAUAAGCACCGGCUAACUACGUG
rnacentral:rRNA from 1 species